UAUCAGAGACUCAGUAAA
rnacentral:misc_RNA from 1 species